UCAAUAAUUAACUCUUAUUCUACCUCUCUGACAGAGUUGAAGCCCAAGGUAGCCGUUUUCAAGAAAUAAACGAUCACAGUUUGCUACUCCCUCAUCCCCAGUCUUGCCCUCCACACAGAAAAGCCCAGAAGUGGAAUUGCUGGAUCAUAUGAAUUGGAAUUCAAGAAUAAAUCUUUUAGCAACCUGCAGCUUUUCUCACUUCAAAAGGGAUUGCAGCAUCUGUCAUCUUCUCCUCCUUCUCUGCAGGACAAAGGAACUGAUCUCACCAACCACAAAGGCUUUUCGGGGCUCUAAGAACAAUGUGGAAAAGCUUGUCUGAUCCUUGCUCAAGCAGCCUGAUUUCUGAGUUGCACUGUGUUAUUGCCUUUUGAG